rnacentral:piRNA from 1 species
UGACUUUUAUGGUGUUCAAAUUUGUGCUGC